AUCGACGACUCAGCUGCACCAUAAGCACCCACACGAAUUGCUUGAUUCAUUGAAGAAGACGAUUAGAAGCAGCUUUAAGCUCCAAGCUGAUAGCUCAACGCUAGCGGCUACAAGCUCGAAAUUGGGUCUGUAGCUCAGUUGGUUAGAGCGCACCCCUGAUAAGGGUGAGGUCGGCAGUUCGAAUCUGCCCAGACCCACCAAUUUUGUGUGGGAAACGCCUGUAGAAAUACGGGGCCAUAGCUCAGCUGGGAGAGCGCCUGCCUUGCACGCAGGAGGUCAGCGGUUCGAUCCCGCUUGGCUCCACCAUUUACUGCUUCUGUUUGAAAGCUUAGAAAUGAGCAUUCCACCCCGAGAGAUUGAAGGGUGCGUGAAUGUUGAUUUCUAGUCUUUGAUUAGAUCGUUCUUUAAAAAUUUGGGUAUGUGAUAGAAAGAAAUAUAGACCGGGCACCUCUUUCACUGGUGCGUGUCCGGGCUAAGGUAAAGUUUGUGAAAUGCAAACUUUCGGCGAAUGUCGUCUUCACAGUAUAACCAGAUUGCUUGGGGUUAUAU
rnacentral:tRNA from 1 species